GACGAACGCUGGCGGCGUGCCUAAUACAUGCAAGUUGAGCGCUGAAGGUUGGUACUUGUCCCAACUGGAUGAGCAGCGAACGGGUGAGUAACGCGUGGGGAAUCUGCCUUUGAGCGGGGGACAACAUUUGGAAACGAAUGCUAAUACCGCAUAAAAACUUUAAACACAAGUUUUAAGUUUGAAAGAUGCAAUUGCAUCACUCAAAGAUGAUCCCGCGUUGUAUUAGCUAGUUGGUGAGGUAAAGGCUCACCAAGGCGAUGAUACAUAGCCGACCUGAGAGGGUGAUCGGCCCCAGUGGGGAACAGACACGGCGCCAAAACCCUCGGGAGGGGACAGUGGGGGAUAUUCGGGAAGGGGGGCAAAUCUCACCGCGCAAAGCCCCGCGAGUGAAAAAGGUUUUUGGGUAUUAAAAAUCUCUUGGGGGAGAAAAACGUUGGGGAGAGGGGAAAACGCAUAAAAUGACGGGAAAAACCCAGAAAAGGGCGCGUAAAACCGC
rnacentral:rRNA from 1 species